GUUAACGAUAUUUAUGUUAUAUAGCACGUGCAAUAGGAGUGACUCACACAAGCCAGGCGCGCCGGCCGUGUCGUUCCACUCGUAAACAACAGCUGCAACAGAAGUGACUCAUAAGCCAGCUGCGCCGGCUAGUAUAAAAAGGCGGAACGUGCCUUGAAAUGAACAUUCGUUGGACUGCGCUUGCCUGGUGCACUUACUAUAUCCUCGUUACGUUGUGUGAUUCAGUGACUGUUGUACGUACUGGUUAAAGUUGGACAAGUGUUAAAGUGAAUUGUUAAGAUAACAUAUUGUUGAUUAAAUCAGGAAUCAAAUAGUGACAUCGUUUUACCUGGUGUUCAACAAGAUAAUGUCUACCCUCAAGCUUACAUGUACAUGAAUAAACGAGCUCACAUCCUACCUGGUUGGUGGUGCCUACCCGAGUGGACUUACAAUACGACAAGUAAGAAACACCGUGGGUACAAACUGCUUGUGUGAGAUCGCUGACCAGGCUCGACCAGGCUCAACCGGAAAUCAUUACCAUUACCAGAUAUAAAAAUAAAGGUUGAAAGAAUAAUUCGUCUUAGCCGAGAAGACGUCCAGACAAAUAGCUCUACAGUCAUGUAUGUGUCUUUCAAGGCUCUCUCAUACAUAAUGAAAAUAGUAUAGGAUUAUUUUUCUUGUCACUGCCUUGAGUCGAUUCUUUAACGAUUAUGACACAUAAUUUGUUAAAGUUUAUUAAUAAAAUUAUUAAACUUUAUUUCUGAAUGGGAAA